UUUUUGUUAUUGGAAUUAUACCACUGUUCACAAGUGUGUUUAAGUAUUUUGCUGAUUCGGGAAGGAUACUGCGCUCAUGUUGGACAGCUACAAACCGGCUAACUGAUCAUAUGGGACGGUUCUGUGUGGUUGGAUUUCUGCAGAUAGACAAUGGACACUUAUGGAUUUAACAUGGUCAUAUAAUGAUUCAGUUGGUCGUCACAGUGUUUUUGUGUACCUGUUUGGAUCAGUUGUUGUUGUUUUACUGAGCUCUACUGCACUGAUGAGAACUGAUACUGAAGACAUUGAAUGGUGAACGUACUUUGGGGGAUCUGAGAAUCGUUCUCUUUCUAUCUGAAAGCAUAUUCGCUUUAUCUCUGCUGAUUUUGCAAGCAUUUGCACCUUGUGAGACACAGGAUGUUGCACAGUGAGGACGCUUACUGUAAUAUCUGUAUGAUGAUAUUACAGGAUGCUGUAUGUGUAUAUACCUUUCUCUUUGCAAUAUAAGGAAAAUAAAACAUUUGUGAUUCUGGAC